GACGAACCGUGCGAACGUUGUUCGGAAUCACUGGGCGUAAGGGGUGCGUAGGCGGGUCUUUAAGUCAGGGGUGAAAUCCUGGAGCUCAACUCCAGAACUGCCUUUGAUACUGAGGAUCUUGAGUUCGGGAGAGGUGAGUGGAACUGCGAGUGUAGAGGUGAAAUUCGUAGAUAUUCGCAAGAACACCAGUGGCGAGGGCGGCUCACUGGCCCGAUACUGACGCUGAGGCACGAAAGCGUGGGGAGCAAACAGG
rnacentral:rRNA from 1 species